UCUGGUUGAUCCUGCCAGUAAUAUAUGCUUGUCUCAAAGAUUAAUCCAUGCAUGUCUAAGUAUAAAUAGUAUACCUUAAAACUGCAAAUGGCUCAUUAAAACAGUUAUAGUUUAUUUGAUAAUCAAACGCUACAUGGAUAACCGUGGUAAUUCUAGAGCUAAUACAUGCUGAUAACCCGGCGCAAGUCGCGGUUGUAUUUAUUAGAUAUUAAACCAAUAUGUUAAUAGCAUUUUGAAGGAAUUAUGGUAACUGAUCGAAUCCUCGCUUGUCGAGGAUAAAUCAUUCAAGUUUCUGCCCUAUCAGCUUUCGAUGGUAGUGUAUUGGACUACCAUGGCGAUUACGGGUAACGGAGAAUUAGUGUUCGAUUCCGGAGAGGGAGCCUGAGAAACGGCUACCACAUCUAAGGAAGGCAGCAGGAGCGUAAAUUACCCAAUGUCGACUCGAUGAGCGUAGUGACAAUACAUAACAAAGAGGGGAUUUCAUUAUCUUACUCUAUUGCAAUGAGGCAUGUUUAAUAACCUGUUCGAGCAACCAGUGAAGGGCAAGCCUGGUGCCAGCAGCCGCGGUAAUUCCAGCUUCACGAGUGUAUAUUUAAGUUGUUGCAGUUAAAAAGCUCGUAGUUGAACUUCUUUUUGUUCAGAAGGCGUGCAAGCGCAGUCUGGGCGAAAAUCCGCCUGAAAAAUCAUUCGGGUCUUCACUGAUUCAGUGAUGGAUCAGGCAUUUUACUUUGAAAAAAUUAGAGUGUUCAAAGCAGGCUCACGCCUGAAUACAUUAGCAUGGAAUAAUAGAAUAGGACGCUGUUCAAUUUGUUGGUUAUUGAAUUGCGUAAUGAUUAAUAGGGACAGUUGGGGGCAUUUGUAUUUAAUUGUCAGAGGUGAAAUUCUUGGAUUUAUUAAAGACAAACUUAUGCAAAAGCAUUUGCCAAGGAUGUUUUCAUUAAUCAAGAACGAAAGUUAGAGGAUCAAAGACGAUCAGAUACCGUCCUAGUUUUAACUAUAAACUAUGCCGACUCGGUCUCAGUCAAGUCUUCCUAACUUGAUUGGUGCCGUAUGAGAAAUCAAAGUCUUUGGGUUCCGGGGGGAGUAUGGUCGCAAGGUUGAAACUUAAAGGAAUAGACGGAACAUCACUACCAGGUGUGGAUCCUGCGGCUUAAUUUGACCCAACACGGGGAAACUUACCAGCGCAAAACAAGGGUGGGAUUGACAGAUUGAGAGCUCUUUCUUGAUUCUUUGGAUAGUGGUGCAUGGCCGUUCUUAGUUGGUGGAGUGAUUUGUUA
rnacentral:rRNA from 1 species